UACGGAGGGUGCAAGCGUUGUCCGGAUUUAUUGGGUUUAAAGGGUGCGUAGGCGGCCCGUUAAGUCAGUGGUGAAAGCCUCCAGCUCAACUGGAGAACUGCCAUUGAUACUGACGGGCUUGAGUACAGACGAGGUAGGCGGAAUUGAUUGUGUAGCGGUGAAAUGCAUAGAUACAAUCAAGAACUCCGAUUGCGUAGGCAGCUUACUAGGCUGUAACUGACGCUGAGGCACGAAAGUUAGGGGAGCAAACGGG
rnacentral:rRNA from 1 species